AGUAAUUAAAAAAACGCAAAGGGGACUAAAUCGAAAGUUAAAUCCAAAUUUAAGGGAAAGAAAAUGCGAUUAGAAAUGUUUAAGGGUCGUAUUAAAAUAUGCGCGUAAUAUUGGGGACCAAACAGGGAAAUAAUCCCGUGCCCUCGAAACGCAGCAUUACAGAAGAGAUCAAAAUGAAACAAUAUCGAAAAUGUGGGGAAAAUAUUAAAAAUAAAAAAGAUCGAUUUAAAAAUCCUGCAAGAUCAGAGGGACCAAUUGCGCAAAUAGGCCAUCAGACCCAAAAUGCGCGGAUCCUCCCUGGGUCGGGUCACCGCACGGGUUUUGGUCCUCAAACGAUGCCGUUUUCAGAGCCAUCAGAUCGGCAUUAAACGGUGCCGUUUAUUACCUUGCUUAUAAACCAAAAUAACCCUAAUACAACUCAUUUCUUCAAAACAGAAACCUAAACUAAUAGAGGCUCCCUGCGCCGCUUUGCUUAAAGGCCAUUCGGAUGACUUCCGAUCCCAGCCCAACCUCCGAUGACGACGGAGAGAGCCAGGAUCUCGCCACCAGGUAACCCCUUUGCUUUUGAUUCCUGAAUCUACUCUUUUACUCAACAACAAUCACAAAAAAACAAAGAACUCGAAUGAGGAAACAAAGAGAAAAAGAAAACGACUGAAAAAAAGGUAGGAUUUCAAAAUCACCUCUUAUCAUUUCGAUUUUUUUUUGUAUUCUGAAUGCCUCAAAAAAAAGGGUCCGUUUACAGUGCUUGUAUUGGCUUUAUAUAGCCAAAAAUAAAAUACAAAAAUCCCUAUUUUUUCUGUUUUUCCUUUUUUCUCUGCUAUUACAAUUUUUAAUUCGCUCCAUUUUGCUGUUUUCUGUUCGUUUCUGCUUGUUUGCUUGUGUGCAGGUACGGCUUACGGUGUCAGAGACGUAGCACGUACGAAGGUCAGCUGUACGAAGGCAUGCGUGGCGUGGGAGCUCGAAGGAGUGGUGGCGCACGCACGAGAGGGGAGCGUGCUGGCUGCGGCGUUGGUGCUAGGGCUGAAUGCCUAGGUUUCUGCUGUGUAUUUUUUUGUGUUUUGGGCUGAUUUGGGCUAGGUAUAUUGGGCCAUUAGGUUUAAUAUUCUAGGCCAAUGUAAAUGGAUUAUUUUUGGAC
rnacentral:lncRNA from 1 species